rnacentral:lncRNA from 1 species
ACCAGAUGCAACAAAUUUAUACUCAACCAAUGAGGAAGAAAACAAAACAGUGUAGAACCAAACUUCAUCGUAUACUACACGACACCAUUAUUGCAGAGCAGAUAAAGAGUUACAUUACCAGAGUCUAACGGAACGGCACAGUCGAGCAUAAUUAAAGCUUGUCCCACUUACAUGCUGCGUAGUUAAUGCCUUUCCCAGCUCACGAGCUUUGCGCAAUAGGGAAACACCCUGCAAUAAGCAUAACUAAAUCUUUCAGUACGCCUAACACUCAAGAUCUCUAGUUCCCAUCGGUCAAGUCUUAUUCUUAUACAUGGCGACGAAAGAGCCUCAUGAGAUCCGUUAUAUGCAAAUCCAUCAGAUGAGAUGCAAUAAGUUUGUAUUCAAGCAAUGAGGAAUAAACAAAAUGGUGCAAAACCACACUGCAUUGUGUACGGCACGAGACCAUUAUUUCAGAGCAGAUCAAGAAUUACAUUACCAAAAUCUAGCGGAACGGCACAGGUGAGCAUAAUUAAAGUUUGUACCACUUACAUGCUAAAAAGUAAAUGUUUUUUCGGGCUCACCUGGAUUGCGCCGCUCAUCCCCGAUCCAGGUCGGUACAUGUUGUUCCGUAACAGAAACACCCUGCAAUCAGCAUAACUGAAGAUCCAGCGC